GAUGAACGCUGGCGGCGUGCCUAAUACAUGCAAGUCGAGCGAACAGAUAAGGAGCUUGCUCCUUUGACGUUAGCGGCGGACGGGUGAGUAACACGUGGGUAACCUACUUAUUAGACUGGGAUAACUUCGGGAAACCGGAGCUAAUACUGGAUAACAUUUGGAACCGCAUGGUUCUAAAGUGAAAGAUGGUUUUGCUAUCACUUAGAGACGGACUCGCGCCGUAUUAGCUAGUUGGUAAGGUAACGGCUCACCAAGGCGACGAUACGUAGCCGACCUGAGAGGGUGAUCGGCCACACUGGAACUGAGACACGGUCCAGACUCCUACGGGAGGCAGCAGUAGGGAAUCUUCCGCAAUGGGCGAAAGCCUGACGGAGCAACGCCGCGUGAGUGAUGAAGGGUUUCGGCUCGUAAAACUCUGUUAUUAGGGAAGAACAAAUGUGUAAGUAACUGUGCACGUCUUGACGGUACCUAAUCAGAAAGCCACGGCUAACUACGUG
rnacentral:rRNA from 1 species